rnacentral:lncRNA from 1 species
CUUUCUACGCUAGGAAUUACAAGCAGAAGAGGAUUGUCCAAGGUCAUAUAAGAAACCACAUAUCCCUAUUUCAUUCGACAAUUACAUAUAUGCAAUACAUGUGCAAACAGAAAGUGCAAAAGCAACUGACUGAAAUGCAGUGGAACUAGGUAUUUUCCCCUUAUCUUGCCUAAAGAAGAGAGCAUUAUACAAAGGCAAGUUAACAAAAACAAGAAUCCCACAAAGCAAAAUUUGCAAAGCCAUAGUUUCAAAUACAUAUUCCAAUCCAAGUUCUCUUGUCAAUAUCAAUUUUUUCACCAACCCCAUUAGGCAAAAAAGAUUGAUCAUUGCCAGUGUUGACAAAAUUGUAAGCAUAGGUGAAGCACUUCCAAAUUCCAUUUUCUCUUGUUUGUAUCUCAAUAACACAUCUUCACUAGUGACUUUUGGAGUGACUAUGAAUGUUGUAUUGGAAGAACCAAAUAACUUCAACAUUGUAUCAAGAAAGGCAAACAUGUAGGAGCUUGUUCUCUUGUAAAGCCAUAUUCUUUGUUCAUUCCACCAUCCAAGAAUUGUUCCUCCGCUCCACAGGAACUCAGCAAAACUAUAUAUUAGUUCCGCGAUUAGCACAUAUGCAAAUGGCAAGAACCGUUUGCUGGAGACCUGAAAGUUAAGACCAAAAGCAAAAUUUGUCAAAUUUCUUUUGUCAACCGGUGAUUCUGCUUUAUGUUUGUUAAGAAAAUGUGAUGAUAAAGAGGCAAAAAAUACCUGUGGAAAUAGGGGAAUUCCUUUGAGUAGACAAAACGAAGGGACGAUAGAGUAGUACAGAGUUGCCCAGCAAUUCGGAGACCAGAGGCAGUAAAUGAGAUAUCCCAACACAAGGCCAGGAUUGAGCUUUCCAAGUCCAUACCAAACAGGGCUAUACUUAGAAAACAGAAUCAUUAAAUCGCCCUCGGACCAUCUCUUAUGUUGCACUAAUAUUUGAUCCAACGUUGUUGCAGUAACCCCUACAAAGGCAUCCCUUUUUGGACGAUAAUAAACAGAUUUCCAACCUUUACACUUAAUUGUCAACCCGGUCAGUACAUCUUCGACUGGGCACCCGUACUUCAAACCAAUCUGCCAUGUUAAUAAAGUUCACUACGAGUCAGUUACUAAACUGUGUGACCAUCUCAUCUAAAAUUUGAAAUGCAGAUGGACAUACCUCAUUUCCCCAUUGAGUGUUGUUUAAGUCGUACGUUGAACUAGCUAAUCUUUCUAGUCUUUCUUCUAACUCGUGCACGUUUUCUUCCAUCUUCUCAGGACAUGCACUCUUCAAAUCAAUCCUAGCUUCCGUGCUAUACUCUCUACCGUAAAGGGUGUCUCUCCUAUGAAAGCAGCCAGUUCCAGUAUACAAAGGGCCUCCGUAACCAUCAGCACCGUGGAAUUCCACCUUAGGUUGACAUAAAAGUAACGAUACGAAAAUUACAGCAAUGAAUAUUCAUCAACACCAUAAAACCAAAUAGAGAUGUACAGUGUACUAACCUCAUCAAUUACUCUCAGAGAACCAUAAACUUCAUUUUUAGUGGCAUUUCCGAAAGAUUGUGGAAAUUGCACAAAAGCAAUUUCACGACUUCUUUCUUCAUCCAUAAAGAAGCAAAGAGCAUCUUGAAUCGCGUUUGAGUUGUUCGAGUACAUAUCACAAUCUACAUUCAGAAUUACUGGCGCAUUGCUGAUCUCUGAGGACACCCUGAGCUGAACAUUGUAAUCAACAAAAUCAUCCACAGGUUUAUUCAAGAUUUCACUUAUGUGAUGAGCAACUGAUACUAGACUUACCAAUGCAUUCAUCGCCCCGUCUUUGAAAUUAUGGAAGUGCUCAGGAUGCUUCUCCCGAGCCACAUAGACCAACGUUGGCAGUCUUACUCCGUCAAUGUCCUUUGUCUCUUCAUCUCUGUUGUCGAUUAGUAUCUAGUAUGUGAAAGAAAGCAGACAUAUAAGAUAUCAGAUAUGUAAAGUUGCAUUUAUUCUAUCCACAUGUGAUAGUCAGCAGCAGAGCUACCUUUAACGAAAAGAGGAUUCAAACAUUCAAUUGAAUCCCCUUCAUCGGAAAAUUAUAAAAAAAAAUUGUGUAUAAAUAAAUUGUUGAAUCUCUCUAAACAUACGAAACGAGUACAUAGCCUAACUUGAACCAAUGUUUUUGUUUCUUUUUUGUACCUGCAAGAUAGCAGUAUGGUUUUUCUUGGAUGAAUAUGAAUUCCAUUUGGAAAAUCCUUUGUAUUCUAAUUUUGCUUGAUCUGAGACUGUCCCAGCCUUGCAUACAACAUCAAUUUUGUUUGCCAUCUCCUCGUACAAUCCCUGCAGUGUUAAGAAAAGACGUUGGCUAUCAAUAUCUGUAUAUAUACCUCAGCAUUUAUGCUUGACAUUCAACAGUUUUGGAUCAAUAAGUUUUGAUAAACAAAAUAAAUUCUUUAAAGAACAGGCAAAUCCUGAAAUAAGAGUAUUUGAUUGAACACCGGAGUUUAAAAAAGAAAGACGGACUUUUGGCACAUACCAAAAGCAUCUUCAGAAUUUUAAGGUCUUAAACAUGCCAUGAUAGUUCUAUGACUAUAAGAGCAUGAACGCGUCUUUCUUUCUGAAACAAACUAUAUAGAAGUUCAUGUCAUAUAAACGGAAACAAAUGGAGUACCUUCAUUUUGGAAAAAUCUGCAUCAGAUUGAUCCGAAACAGACAGAGAUGCAAAAUAAGCAGCAGGAGACCUCGGCUCAACGUUGAACUUCUUGCAAUAAGGAAGCCAAUGCUUUGCAAAGCGAGAAGCUUCUAACAAGGCAUAAAAGGUAAGCUCGGAACCAGCAUCAUCCGAGAGAUAAACACUGAGCUUUUCUGGUGGAUAAUUGUAAGCCAAGACUGAUAAAACUGUAUUGAUCACCAUAAUUGGUGGCUCUAUUACAGGAUCAGCUGUGCACACGAAUACAUCAACUCUCGGCAACUCAUUCUCAUACCUAUUUUCUUUCAACAAGACAUAAUAAAUGUUAACAAAGCUAUGUUCUCUCUAACACCUUGAACUUAAGCUUUUAGACGAGAUCGUCACACAAUUCAACAUGGGCACUAGAGCAGGCAAUGUUUUGAGUUCAAAUUCCACCUCCACUUCCAUUUAAUUUUUUUCUUUUGCAUGCUUGAUCCAUGAAAGACGAGUUGAUAAUGUAGUUAAAUGAAUAACGAGUGUUCUGUUAUAUCUAACAGUUCAAAUGUUUAGACGAGAAGAUCACACAAUUCAACAUGUUUAAUUAAGAGCAGACAAUUUGGUUCUGAAUUCAAAUUCCACGUGCACUCUUAAUCAAAAAACAUUUUUUUCACAUGUUUGAUGACAUAUAAAACAAUCAGGCCUUUAUACGAGGGGCGAGUUGAAAAUAUAAUUAAAUGAAUUAACGAGUACUCUGCUCAAUAAACUACAGCAACAACUACACCUUAGUCCCAACACAAGUUGGGGUCGACUAUAUGAAUCUAACAACUAGUAUGCCUCAAGCACAAAUAAGUUGGGAUCGGCUCUAUGAAUACUCACUACUUCAUAACAGCUCAAACUAUGUCGUCAUCAUAAAGGAGUUCUCAGCUGAUCAGUAAACAACAACAACAACUACGCUUCAAUCCCAAACAAGUUUGGAUCGGCUAUAUGAGUCCCCGUAGCUUCAUUAACGAGUACAUAGCCUAACUUGAACCAAUGUUUUUGUUUCUUUUUUGUACCUGCAAGAUAGCAGUAUGGUUUUUCUUGGAUGAAUAUGAAUUCCAUUUGGAAAAUCCUUUGUAUUCUAAUUUUGCUUGAUCUGAGACUGUCCCAGCCUUGCAUACAACAUCAAUUUUGUUUGCCAUCUCCUCGUACAAUCCCUGCAGUGUUAAGAAAAGACGUUGGCUAUCAAUAUCUGUAUAUAUACCUCAGCAUUUAUGCUUGACAUUCAACAGUUUUGGAUCAAUAAGUUUUGAUAAACAAAAUAAAUUCUUUAAAGAACAGGCAAAUCCUGAAAUAAGAGUAUUUGAUUGAACACCGGAGUUUAAAAAAGAAAGACGGACUUUUGGCACAUACCAAAAGCAUCUUCAGAAUUUUAAGGUCUUAAACAUGCCAUGAUAGUUCUAUGACUAUAAGAGCAUGAACGCGUCUUUCUUUCUGAAACAAACUAUAUAGAAGUUCAUGUCAUAUAAACGGAAACAAAUGGAGUACCUUCAUUUUGGAAAAAUCUGCAUCAGAUUGAUCCGAAACAGACAGAGAUGCAAAAUAAGCAGCAGGAGACCUCGGCUCAACGUUGAACUUCUUGCAAUAAGGAAGCCAAUGCUUUGCAAAGCGAGAAGCUUCUAACAAGGCAUAAAAGGUAAGCUCGGAACCAGCAUCAUCCGAGAGAUAAACACUGAGCUUUUCUGGUGGAUAAUUGUAAGCCAAGACUGAUAAAACUGUAUUGAUCACCAUAAUUGGUGGCUCUAUUACAGGAUCAGCUGUGCACACGAAUACAUCAACUCUCGGCAACUCAUUCUCAUACCUAUUUUCUUUCAACAAGACAUAAUAAAUGUUAACAAAGCUAUGUUCUCUCUAACACCUUGAACUUAAGCUUUUAGACGAGAUCGUCACACAAUUCAACAUGGGCACUAGAGCAGGCAAUGUUUUGAGUUCAAAUUCCACCUCCACUUCCAUUUAAUUUUUUUCUUUUGCAUGCUUGAUCCAUGAAAGACGAGUUGAUAAUGUAGUUAAAUGAAUAACGAGUGUUCUGUUAUAUCUAACAGUUCAAAUGUUUAGACGAGAAGAUCACACAAUUCAACAUGUUUAAUUAAGAGCAGACAAUUUGGUUCUGAAUUCAAAUUCCACGUGCACUCUUAAUCAAAAAACAUUUUUUUCACAUGUUUGAUGACAUAUAAAACAAUCAGGCCUUUAUACGAGGGGCGAGUUGAAAAUAUAAUUAAAUGAAUUAACGAGUACUCUGCUCAAUAAACUACAGCAACAACUACACCUUAGUCCCAACACAAGUUGGGGUCGACUAUAUGAAUCUAACAACUAGUAUGCCUCAAGCACAAAUAAGUUGGGAUCGGCUCUAUGAAUACUCACUACUUCAUAACAGCUCAAACUAUGUCGUCAUCAUAAAGGAGUUCUCAGCUGAUCAGUAAACAACAACAACAACUACGCUUCAAUCCCAAACAAGUUUGGAUCGGCUAUAUGAGUCCCCGUGGUUCAUGUAAGCUCAACUCAUCAUCGUCAUAAACAAGCACUCAAAAUCAACAAACAACAACAACUACGCCUCAAACCCAAACAAAUCGAGAUCGGCUAAAAGAAUCAGAUCAUCACUGAUUCAUUAAAACUCACUCAUGUCAUCAUUACAAACAAGUGCUCAACUCAAUAAAAAAUACAACAAUUACGCCUCAGUCCCAAACAAAGUUGGGAUCGACUACAUGAAUCAUUUAAAAGUCAACUCAUGUCAUCAUAAUAAACAAGUGCUAAUCAGGUCAACUAACAACAACAACUGCGUAACAAGUCGGAAGCAACUAUAUGAAUCAUCACGAAUUCACUAAACCUCAAUCUAACAGAUUAAACUUUUAGAUGAGAUCGUCAUAACAUACCUCAUUAAGAGCCUAUCUCGAAAUGUAUGACGAUAAAUUCUGUUCCAACGAACAGACUGAGUGAUGAACCAGUAAAAACCAAACCAUAGUUCAGCUCCAAGCAUUCCAAUCCAAACAUAUCUACCAUUUUCACCUGAAUUUGGUAUAUUACAAAGUCUAUAAAUCCAAAUCAAAAUAAUCCCACAAAAGAGUGAAGUUGCAAAUAGCCUAUAUAAUAUCCUUCCUUUUCCCUUUUCUGUCUCAAAUAAAGGCUCAUACUUUAACUUUUCCAUAUGAGUCUCUCUUUGAGGAUUAUCUUCCUCUAUUCUUAUACAUAUAUAACAGUUAUUUAAAUAUAUUUUUUCAUUAACAAAGAGAAUUCUUACGUUUGUGGUGACGUUUUGAUGAGUCUGCACGAAUUCAAUUAUGACAACUCGAAAUGAUUAAUUAUUACUGUUUCAAUUUGUCUGUAUUAUUUUUUAUUUCGGACCACUUUUCAUCCGUAAAUAUUUAAAACAUACAAAAUUAAAAGAUAUUUUAAUACCUUUAAAAUAAAUUUCUACUUUCUAAAACUUAGUACCGAGUCUGACAAUCAAUUUGAAACAUAAAAAGUUGUAAUGUUUUUGAAUAUUACAAAUAUUAUUUUUCAAAAGCUGAAAAAUUAUAAAUUAUUGUAAUAAAGUAAUUUAUCAAACACAAUUUUAUUUUGUGUGUAGAUUUCCAACUUAUUUUUUUUAUAAAAUACUUCUUAAAGUAAGUAAAAUUUUAAAAGUUUAAUCAUGUUAUUUUAUACGGAAAAUAGUAGGAUCCCCAAAUAUUUGGUAGCCACUAGUUGCUCAAAUAAAAUCUAAAAUAUAUAUGGUGGAGGUCUUCAUGUGACUACGACAGUUUUGUCCUCUACAUUUAACAAAAUAGUAAUCACUGCGUUUUACGUAAUUUAUUGUCUCUUUCUUAAAUUUAACAACUCUUCAAAUUUUCAAAUAACAGCCUUUUAAUAUACUGUAUAUGUUUUUAAUUUAAAAUUUAAAAAAUAUAAAAAUCUUUUUAUUUUUAUAAAUUAUGUAGCAAAUAAAACUAAAACAAACAAAAAAAAGUGGAAGUAUGACCGACCAUAUUCAUAAAUGGACCCAAUAGGCCAAAAUUAUUUAACAACUAGAUAGACAUGGUCGUGCUUAGCACAGCCCAACAUGUUGGAUUUUGCGACAUCAUUUUAUUUGCUACAAGUAUACAUUUACUUAGUAUUUUUUGCGCCAAUAAGAAACCAUCCUCUCAAUUCAAGAUCAAAAUAAGUAGCUUUCGAUUAGUUUCUAGUAAUAUACACGAUAGUCCCACCUUAGAUUGUUAAUCUCCACAAUAUCAUCACAAAACUACAUAUGAGUAGCUUUACAUCACCUUCAAAAUGCAAAUAAACACCAAUUAAUUUCAAGUUAUACAACAAAAAUAGCAUGUCCAGUAUAAUCGCACAAGUGAGAUUUAAAAAAGAUAAGAGUGUACACAUACCUUAACCCUAUCUUGAAAGAUAUAUAGACUAUUUUCAAUAGGCCUUGACUUGAGGAUUGUAGCAAUGCAAUCAGAGGCGAAUCUAAGAUUUCAAGAAGACGGGUGCACCAUUGUUAUGGACGGCUUUGCCCCUUUAAGAAAAAGACAACUACUUUAGGCUUCCAAAUUUGAAGGACCUCAAUUAUUUUAGCAAUAACAAAUAUUAGCUUUUUUCAUAAGAAAAAUAUUAAAUACGAUUUAUAAAAAAAAAAAAUUAUAUUAAGAGAAAAAAUUAUUAGGAGAAAUUUGAUAUACCUAGAGUACUAUGUCGCAAGAAAGAUUAAAUGCAUUGGUUAUAUGAAUUAUUGAUUGAAAAAUAAUUAUUAAAAUAAUCUGAUUAUUAAAAAAUAUACAAUUUUGCAUCUCAAGAAAUUUUAAAAGUAGACUUUAUAAAAAGAAUAUUAAUUUUUCUCAAAAGUUUAAGGCCUCAGUUUGAUUUUUUUCUCAGACAACUUGUGUGUUUGGGCCGUCGCUGAUCAUUGCACGUAAGAUAAGAUCUAAAAUAUUAUAAUUGAUUUUGCUAGUUUGCUUACUAAGAAUGGUGAUUUCAAUUGAAAGAAGGAAAAAAAAAUAGGUUUUUCAGCUGGGAAGUUCGUGUUUUUUUUGAAAUAAAAUGCUUGCAAUGGAACCUACUUUUAGAUUAUUUUUUUGUAAAAAUAAGAAGUAAAAAAGCCAUGCUGCAUUUUUUAUUUUAAAAAGGCCGACUGCAGUGCUUUUAAAAAAUUUUAAAAAUAAAUGUUGCAAUGGAGAAUCGAUCCAUCAACCUCCCAGUGGAAAACAACCACCCAAACCAGUGAGCCAUCUAGCCAUUUGUGACCAUGGGUUCCUUCAGUUGCAAUUUGUUAUAUUUUAUGAAUUAUACAAGUAGAUAUAUCGAAUUUGUCGGAUGACCACGGGUUUCGGUGACCCAUUUUUUAAACUUAAAUUCGCCCUUGAAUGCAAUAAUGUCAAGAAAUUUAGAAUGUACAUUUUUAUAAAAAUAAAAAGCACUUAUAUAAACUCAGGGAAGGAAGGAUCAACUUUGGGAGAGAAGGGGUCAGGUACUUUGCUAGAAUACAAAAAUAAUACAAAAUACUGUCAUAAUUGAAUACUGCAGCCUGCAGGACAUUUAUAAACUACUUGUUACCAUUAGACAAUUGAUUUGAAAGUAAGAUUAAGUUACUUUCAGAAAGCUUUCUUUACCUACAAGUCAUCAUUUGACCAUAUUUUGGAUUCAAAUAAGUGAACUAAUGAAUAAAAGACUAUUUGCCAUAGGUUCAAAAACUUACCGCCAGCCAAGUUAUAGAUUAAAUUAAUUUUUUUUUUUAACUUUGCCUAUUUCAAACAUGUUUUGAUGUUGUAUCAUCAUAAAUCGAUAAUGUACCAUCAUGACUCCACAAGUGCUUGCUUAUUUUACUGUCCUUAUACAACCACCGACUACCCUUAUGAAGGUCGUGGUGGUAUGAUGUAUUACAGCCUUUGCAAGCAUGGUUUUUCCAGUGCCUUGUGGACCAUAGAGCAACACGACACAGGAAGGAUCUAUAGCAAUUUGCUUGUACAAUCAUGAUGACUCAGAGGUAACUCAACGGCUUCACAAAUUUCCUGCUUUUGUAUAUCGCAUCCUCCAAUAUCAUGAUAAAAAACAUAAGCUCAAAGACUAAGAAAUAAAUAAGGCGUAUGAGAUAGUGAAUAAAUAGUAGGAAAUGAUCUCCAUCCAUAAAUCGUGGAAGAUGGUCUCUUUAGCAAAAUCAACUUCAAAUUAUACAUAGUAAAAUAAUAUGAUUUCUAUAUUCAAAAUUGAAAAGAAGGUAAGAAAAAUUUAUUUACCUUUGGAACUUUACGAACCAUGGAAAUCUACAGAUGUGUAAAGUUGAAUAUGACAGAAAUAGAACCAUAUCAAGAAUAGUACAAUAAGUUAAAAUGCAAAGAAUGAUGUGCGGCAAUUUCAAUAUGGAUCCAGUUAAUUUUCAUCAAAUUACUUUUUUUAAUUCAACAAGAAUACUACAUUAAAUACUGAAACAAAUUAAAGGAGCCCAUAGUUUAACCUGCAUAUAUUAGACUGAGAAGGAAAUUGUUAAUACAAAAGUAGUGUAAGAGAGAUUAAAUAAACUUUGCCAUUAGACAUAUAAAACAUACAGUAAUCCAUUAAUUACUCAAUAUGCAUUUAUGCAAAGAAUCUAUUUUGUGUUCACAAUUAAUUUGUCAAACAUUACUGAUAGACUCAUAAAAAUUAAGGUCACCAUUGUAAUGUUGUUUAGAGGCCGGCGACUUUUAUGAGUUAUCAUUGUCUAAAAACAACUUAAUAGAAUCUUUUAAUCAGCGUUAUGUAACAAGAAAGUAAUCUAUAAAUUUAACAGAACGAAGUGUGCAUUGUUUAUCUUAGUCAUCUCGUACUCUUACCUCUAUCCAAAAAAUUAAAGGGGUAAAAUACGUAAUAAUUAAAAACCAACGCAAAAAAAAUAAUUAAGAAGUAAUUCAGCAGGAUAAACAACGAAUGUUCUAGAUAUGUUGACAUAAUAGUUCUACCAAAUGUUCAUCUGAACAUGAAAAUACUUUUGAAAAUUUUACGAGUGAUGAUAGUAUUUAAUUCAAAACGAUAACAAUUUCAAACUACAGAUAGAGUUCAUACAGUGGUUAUGAAAAUAAAGCUCUUUGAGAUGAGAUAAAAUAAAAGACAUAAAUAUAAUAAGCUAGACCACAACAUCUUUUAUGCCCCAAAAGAUAAACCAAAGUUCUAAAGUAGUAGUCACUACAAGCAUCUUAUAACACAUGCACAAUAAUCUCAAAUAAUUUUUUUAUGUGCAAUGACAUCAACAACAAAAUCAACUUAAGCAAAGAAGAAAUUACAUAUGUAUUGCAAUUUCGACUCUAUGGACCAAUGCAACUAAUAAUGUAUUGUAGUAUAGGUAUGUUCAGAGUCCUUUUGGCAAUGUGCACACAACUAACACUACAAAGGCUCUUAGAAUUUCAACGUCUGAUUAACUACUUCAUUCCCCACUCAUGUUGUUUCAAGUCCACUCUAAGUCUUCACGAAUGCCAACUUGGCACAAUUUUCUCACGUGUAAUAUAAAGAAGCACUUUAUAUUAUCAGUCUUUUGUCGGCUGAAGUUACAUUGAAGGGAGGGUUUGAAAACACAAAUUAGAAACAAAUGAUAGAGAAAUAAGAGAUCAAGUAAGACGAACCUUUCAUGUAUGUACAUACUAAAUGAAAGCAUAACCUUCAAGUUUAGAGGUUGACUUGUUUGCAACCAAACUAUUCUGAAAAUUGGGGGAUUAAUGAAAAUAAGGCUAUUAGUGUAAUCAUUAUGCUAAUAGCUAAAGAUCCGAAGUAUGAUAAAGUCUAAAGUUUGGGGAAGGCGAAAGGAGAAAGAGAGAAAAAUUAAAAAGGGAUGCCAUCACUUGCUUGUUGCUUAUAAAAUCUAUUAGAUUUAAUUUUUAGUCCUGUAGUUUGUGAAAAAACUUGUUUUACUUGUCAUUUAAAUUUUAGAUCCAUUGGAGCAGUUCAACUUGAAAUUCUGAAACUUUAUUUCCUAGAUUUUUUUAUUUUAUUUUUAUAAAAGUGACAGUUAGUCUAUAUUUAUCCACAGGUAUACUACCUCAAAAGUGUUGUAGUUACAUAGUCUCCUAUACCUACCAAGAUUUCCUAGAUUUUAGAAGGAUAGUUAUUGUUUAUCAAAGUAUAUAAAGGGAAUUAUUGUUCAACUAUUUUAGCAUAGUACUGAUCGACCUUGAAGUUUACAAUGCCCCUCCUACAUAUCUAGUUGCUAGACACCUAAUUGAUCCGAUCAUUUUCUCAUUCUUCAACAGGACGGAAUAGGAUUGUAGCUCAGAACACAAGCAAUAACUCACGUAAUAUCAUACUUAUGAGAAAUCUAAAUGCCUGCAGAGUUAGAAGAUAUGCCGGAAUAUUUCAGAGUGUUAUCUAAUUGUCACUGUCCAAGCCACCUUGCAUUAACCAAGACAAUAAAUCAACACAGGUAUUUGGCAACUCUACUCACCAACCUUAAGAAAAUAGGGGAAAAAAUAUCUAGAGUAUUUUGAUCUUCAUGAAGACGAACUAUGAUCUAAUUCCUGGUUAUCACAUAAUCUAGCUAAGGAAUCUAUUUUCUCACCACUCUAAAUAACACCUAAUUAAUCUGAUCAUUCUCUCAUUCUUCAAUAGGACGGGAUAGGACUGUAGCUCAAAACUGAAGCAAUAACUCACAUAAUAUUAUUCUUACAAAUGCAUGGGGAGUUGGAAGAUAUGACGGAAUAUUUUAGACCGUUAUCUAAUUGUCACUGUCCAAGCCACCUUACAUUAACCUAGACAAUGAACCAACACAAGUAUUUGGUAACUCUACUCAUCAACCUUAAGCAAAUAGGGGAAAAAAUAUCUACACUCUUUUGAUCUAACUCCACUGGAAUUUGAACCUUCCAAACAUUCAAGUGAGCUCGUGAAAACAUUUUCCUUCAUACCAAACACACCCUAUUAUGUACUGAAUUUUCACCGGUUAUUAAUUUAAUUUCAUCAAUUUCCAACGGCAUAUUCAAUGCAAUUCCACAAAAUGGACUCUGAAGAAGUUAGAAUAUACACAGAUUUUACCAUUAUAGUAGAGGUAAGAAUUCUGAUAGAACUUUAUCCCCAACUUCAUCAAUUUCAAAUUUUAAGAUCAUUAUAUCUCUUUCAUACAUUUCAACAAAAAUAUCCCAAAAGUUGUAGCAUCUACGUUUCUUUGAAUAAAGUUCAAUUAUUAGUAUAAAGUUUACUUGCAUAAAGGCUUCAAGUUUUUUGAAGAAAAAAGAGACCAUGGACUAAGCGAUGACGAAUCAUUAUCAAGGCGGAAAAUUUCAUUGUUUUGAAUGAAAAUUUGCGUUACAGAGGGAGUAAAGAGAAACCAUUAUAUACUAAAAAAUGUUUCAACUCCCACGACUUAAAUUUGUGAUCUCUAUUUAAAGGUAGGAGGGAUUUCAUAUGUUUCAUCUACAAGUGAAUUUAAAAUUUGAAAUUUAUGUAAUUCUAACCACGAGCCAGACCGGAUCAAAAGAGAUUUUGAAAGGAGAGUGAAGGGGAAAAGGGGGCAACCCUCAGCCGAUCAUCCAAUUCGCUCCAACAGAUAGUCAUAGUCCCCAUUUAAACGUGUAAUAUGAAAUCAUAAUUUUGAUCAUGAGCAUUUAAAUAUGAAACUUAGUUGCACGCUUUCAAAGUAAAUUGGAGCUAGUGUUAACCGGGUCAAAAUGGAUUUUGAGUCUAACUCAACCCUGAAAGUUAGCUCAUAAGAAAAGGAAUGUCCAAGGUCAUAUAAGAAAACCACAUAUCCCUAUUUCAUCCGACGUGAAACGCUUCAACAAUUACAUAUAUGCAAUACAUGUGCAAACAGAAAGGGCAAAAACAACUGACUGAAAUGCAGUGGAACUAGGUAUUUUCCCCUUAUCUUGCCUAAAGAAGAGAGCAUUAUACAAAGGCAAGUUAACAAAAACAAGAAUCCCACAAAGCAAAAUUUGCAAAGCCAUAGUUUCAAAUACAUAUUCCAAUCCAAGUUCUCUUGUCAAUAUCAAUUUUUUC